rnacentral:rRNA from 1 species
CCUACGGGAGGCAGCAGUGAGGAAUAUUGGUCAAUGGUCGGGAGACUGAACCAGCCAAGCCGCGUGAGGGAUGAAGGUACAGAGUAUCGUAAACCUCUUUUGUCAGGGAACAAAGGCGGGGACGCGUCCCCGGAUGAGUGUACCUGAAGAAAAAGCAUCGGCUAAAUCCGUGCCAGCAGCCGCGGUAAUACGGAGGAUGCGAGCGUUAUCCGGAUUUAUUGGGUUUAAAGGGUGCGCAGGCGGGCUGUUAAGUCAGCGGUCAAAGCUCCGGGCUCAACCCCGGCCCGCCCGUUGAAACUGGCAGGCUCGAGUUGGAGAGAAGUAUGCGGAAUGCGCGGUGUAGCGGUGAAAUGCAUAGAUAUCGCGCAGAACUCCGAUUGCGAAGGCAGCAUGCCGGCUCCACACUGACGCUGAGGCACGAAAGCGUGGGUAUCGAACAGGAUUAGAUACCCGGGUAGUC